rnacentral:rRNA from 1 species
CCUACGGGAGGCAGCAGUGGGGAAUAUUGGGCAAUGGAGGCAACUCUUACCCAGCAAUGCCGCGUGAAUGAAGAAGGUCUUCUGAUUUUAAAGUUCUUGAAUUCGGGACGAAAAAUAUGACGGUACCCAAGGAAUAAGCCCCCUCUAACUACGUGCCAGCAGCCUUGGUUAUACGUAGGGGGCACGAGUUGUGCGGAAUGACGGGGCGUAAAGGGUGUGUAGGCGGUGUAGCAAGUUAGAAGUGAAAUACCUAGAGCGUAAGUCAGGUGCUGCAUCUAAAACUGCUAUACUUGAGUGCAGUAGAGGAAAGUGGAAUUCCUAGUGUAGCGGUGGAAUGCGUAGAUAUUAGGAGGAACAUCAGUGGCGAAGGCGACUUUCUGGACUGUAACUGACGCUGAGGCACGAAAGUGUGGGGAGCAAACAGGAUUAGAUACCCCUGUAGUC